rnacentral:snoRNA from 1 species
UAUAAUAGGAAUAAGAAAACAGUCUGAAAUGAGCUCAACUCUAUUAAUGUUAUACAGGAGCUGGCAAAGACUUGAUGACACAGAGGUCUCUCAAGCCUUUUUUUUUUGCAUCAGAUUGCCUCCACAUGU